GUUUUGUCUAUUUAAUUAAAGUGUCAGGGUUUUUGAUUGUUAUAGAGAGAAAAAGUUUACGUUUUGCACUAUUAUGGAACCGCGCGUUGGUAACAAGUUCCGUCUCGGUCGCAAGAUCGGUAGUGGAUCAUUUGGAGAGAUCUAUCUCGGUACUAAUAUUCAAACAAACGAGGAAGUUGCAAUUAAGCUUGAAACUAUCAAGACAAAGCAUCCUCAGUUACAGUCUGAGUCAAGGUUAUAUAAGAUUCUACAGGGAGGAACUGGAGUUCCAAAUGUUAGAUGGUUUGGUGUUGAA
rnacentral:misc_RNA from 1 species